rnacentral:rRNA from 1 species
CCUACGGGAGGCAGCAGUGGGGAAUAUUGCACAAUGGGGGAAACCCUGAUGCAGCGACGCCGCGUGAGCGAGGAAGUAUUUCGGUAUGUAAAGCUCUAUCAGCAGGGACGAAAAAAGACGGUACCUGACUAAGAAGCCCCGGCUAACUACGUGCCAGCAGCCGCGGUAAUACGUAGGGGGCAAGCGUUAUCCGGAUUUACUGGGUGUAAAGGGAGCGCAGGCGGCGCGUUAAGCCUGGUGUGAAAGCCCGCGGCCCAACCGCGGGACUGCAUUGGGAACUGGCGCGCUGGAGUGCCGGAGGGGUAGGCGGAAUUCCUAGUGUAGCGGGGAAAUGCGUAGAUAUUAGGAGGAACACCAGUGGCGAAGGCGGCCUACUGGACGGUGACUGACGCUGAGGCUCGAAAGCGUGGGGAGCAAACAGGAUUAGAUACCCGGGUAGUC